UGGGGAAUUUUGGACAAUGGGCGAAAGCCUGAUCCAGCAAUGCCGCGUGUGUGAAGAAGGUCUUCGGGUUGUAAAGCACUUUUGUCCGGAAAGAAAUCCUUGGCUCUAAUACAGUCGGGGGAUGACGGUACCGGAAGAAUAAGCACCGGCUAACUACGUGCCAGCAGCCGCGGUAAUACGUAGGGUGCAAGCGUUAAUCGGAAUUACUGGGCGUAAAGCGUGCGCAGGCGGUUUGCUAAGACCGAUGUGAAAUCCCCGGGCUCAACCUGGGAACUGCAUUGGUGACUGGCAGGCUAGAGUAUGGCAGAGGGGGGUAGAAUUCCACGUGUAGCAGUGAAAUGCGUAGAGUGUGGAGGAAUACCGAUGGCGAAGGCAGCCCCCUGGGCCAAUACUGACGCUCAUGCACGAAAGCGUGGGGAGCAAACAGGAUUAGAUACCCUGGUAGUCCACGCCCUAAACGAUGCUCAACUAGUUGUUGGGGAUUCAUUUCCUUAGUAACGUAGCUAACGCGUGAAGUUGGACCGCCUGGGGAGUACGGUCGCAAG
rnacentral:rRNA from 1 species